GCGGGGCCGGGCCGGGCCGGGCCGGGCCGGGCCGGGCCGGGAGAGGGUCGGCCGGGCCUCGGGGGACGACCGGAAGCAAGCGCUCCCGUGCCGAGGGAGGGCGACUGACAACUCCGCGGCGCGGUGAACCUCCUGAAGCUUCCAGAGGCCAAGCAUCGCUCAGCUGCUCAAGCUGUAGGACCCGGAGCAGAGCCGGUGCUUUCUAACUCCACCUGCCAGUCCCGUCUGCCCACGCGGCGAAGGCAGGAGAGUCCCCACUCUCUCGGGGCAGUCGCUUCGGCGGGAUGAGCACACGUCACCUUGGAAAACCGCUGUGGGAGUCCAUCCACCAUGAGGGUGUCUGUGGAGCACUCUGCAAAUACGGCUUCUUAACUGUUCAUUGUUACCCAGUGUUACUUUUGUCUAAAGCUCUUUGAAAAGUCAAACGUGAAGGUGUGCAUGAAGAAAAAUCACAGCCUGGCCCUGAUUAAAUAUUCAUUUAUCAAA